GACGAACGCUGGCGGCGUGCCUAAUACAUGCAAGUCGAGCGAAUGAUGAGGAGCUUGCUCCUCUGAUUUAGCGGCGGACGGGUGAGUAACACGUGGGCAACCUGCCCUGUAGACUGGGAUAACUUCGGGAAACCGGAGCUAAUACCGGAUAAUUCUUUUAGCCUCAUGGCUUUAAGCUUAAAGGCGCUUCGGCGUCACCACAGGCUGGGCCCGCGGUGCAUUAGCUGGUUGGUGGGGUAAUGGCCUACCAAGGCAACGAUGCAUAGCCGACCUGAGAGGGUGAUCGGCCACAUUGGGACUGAGACACGGCCCAAACUCCUACGGGAGGCAGCAGUAGGGAAUCUUCCACAAUGGACGAAAGUCUGAUGGAGCAACGCCGCGUGAGUGAUGAAGGUUUUCGGAUCGUAAAACUCUGUUGUAAGGGAAGAACAAGUGCGUUAGGUAAUGAACGCACCUUGACGGUACCUUAUUAGAAAGCCACGGCUAACUACGUGCCAGCCGCCGCCGUAA
rnacentral:rRNA from 1 species